rnacentral:sRNA from 1 species
GGCAAACCCCGUCUGCCUCCGGGGUA